rnacentral:rRNA from 1 species
ACGAACGCUGGCGGCGUGCCUAAUACAUGCAAGUCGAACGGUCUUUCUAUGGAAGCUUGCUUCCACUGAGAAGAUAGUGGCGAACGGGUGAGUAACACGUGGGUAACCUGCCCAUAAGAGGGGGAUAACAUCCGGAAACGGGUGCUAAUACCGCAUAGUUUUCUUGAUCGCAUGAUCGGGAAAGGAAAGACGGCCUUUGUGCUGUCGCUUAUGGAUGGACCCGCGGCGUAUUAGUUAGUUGGUGAGGUAACGGCUCACCAAGACGAUGAUACGUAGCCGACCUGAGAGGGUGAUCGGCCACAUUGGGACUGAGACACGGCCCAAACUCCUACGGGAGGCAGCAGUAGGGAAUCUUCCGCAAUGGACGAAAGUCUGACGGAGCAACGCCGCGUGAGUGAAGAAGGUUUUUCCGGAUCGUAAAACUCUGUUGUCAGAGAAGAACAAGUUGGAGAGUAACUGCUCCAGCCUUGACGGUAUCUGACCAGAAAGCCACGGCUAACUACGUGCCAGCAGCUGC